rnacentral:rRNA from 1 species
AGAGCGCAGAGUGAAUGCCUUGGCAUUGAGAGCCGAAGAAGGACGUGGUUAACUGCGAUAAGCAGCGGGGAGUUGUAAGCAAGCAUUGAUCCGCUGAUUUCCGAAUGGAGCAAUCCGCAUGAAGUAGUUCAUGCAUCCAUAUGUGAAUCAAUAGCAUAUGGAGGGGAACCGCCUGAACUGAAACAUCUAAGUAGGGCGAGGAAGAGAAAUCAACCGAGAUUCUGUGAGUAGUGGCGAGCGAAAGCGGAAGAGGCUAAACCAUAGGUAGCAAUACUUAUGGGGUUUCGGACAGCAUUUAGUAUUGAAAAUUUCUAGUUGAAACGUGUGGGAAAACGUACCGAAGAGUGUGAGAGUCACGUAAGCGAAAGAGAAAGUCAGCGAGCUGUAUCCAAAGUACCGCGGGACACGUGAAACCCCGUGGGAAGAUGGGGGGACCAUCCUCCAAGCCUAAAUACUACCUAAUGACCGAUAGCGAAUAGUACUGUGAAGGAACGGUGAAAAGAACCCCGGGAGGGGAGUGAAAAAGAACCUGAAACCCUAUGCUUACAAGCACCGAGAGCACGUCAAAGUGUGAUCGGGUACCUUUUGUAGAAUGGUCCGGCGAGUUAUUGUAUGCGGCAAGGUUAAGUGCUUAAGGCACGGAGCCGAAGCGAGAGCAAGUCUGAACAGGGCGAAAAAGUCGUAUGCAAUAGACCCGAAACCGAGUGACCUAUCCAUGUCCAGGCUGAAGUGGAGGUAAAACUCCAUGGAGGGCCGAACACACGUCCGUUGAAAAGGCCGGUGAUGAGGUGUGGAUAGCGGAGAAAUUCCAAUCGAACUCGGAUAUAGCUGGUUCUCUCCGAAAUAGCUUUAGGGCUAGCCUCGUGAAAGAUUACUGGAGGUAAAGCACUGAAUGGGCUAGGGGUCGAAAGAUUACUGAACCCUAUCAAACUAAGAAUGCCAGAUAAUUGAUUCACGGGAGUCAGACAAUGUGAGAUAAGUCUCAUUGUCAAAAGGGAAACAGCCCAGACCCACAGCUAAGGUCCCAAAGGAAUGUUAAGUGGAGAAGGAUGUGGAGUUGCGAAAACAACCAGGAUGUUGGCUUAGAAGCAGCCACACAUUUAAAGAGUGCGUAAUAGCUCACUGGUCGAGUGAUUGUGCGCCGAAGAUGUCCGGGGCUAAACGUGACACCGAAGCGAUGGGUGCAUCUGAAAGGAUGCGCGGUAGAGGAGCAAUGUGCAGAGGCAGAAGCCGUAUCGAGAGGCACGGUGGACACUGCACAAGAGAGAAUGCCGGUAUGAGUAGCGAGAGGCAUGCGAGAAACAUGCCCGUCGAAAGCCCAAGGUUUCCUGGGGAAGGUUCAUCCGCCCAGGGUAAGUCGGGGCCUAAGCCGAGGACGGAAGUCGUAGGCGAUGGACAGCAGGUGUAGAUUCCUGCACUACCGAUGGAAUGAAGCAGUGACACAGAAGGAUAACUCGAGCAGGGUGAUGGUCAACCCUGUGCAAGCAUCAAGGUUGGGUUGUAGUGAAGUACGCAACCCUACAAGCUGAGGUGUGAUGCGGACCGAAAUUUCAGUAGGGAAGCGAGUGAGUUCACGCUGGCGAGAAAAGCUGCUAGUACAUCCAAAGGUACCCGUACCGGAAACCGACGCAGGUGGGCGAGGAGAGAAUCCUGAGACGAACGGGAGAACCCUUGUUAAGGAACUCGGCAAAAUGACCCCGUAACUUCGGGAUAAGGGGUGCCUGCGAGAGCAGGCCGCAGAGAAUAGUCACAAGCGACUGUUUAGCAAAAACACAGGUAUCUGCGAAAGCGAGAGCUGACGUAUAGGUGCUGACACCUGCCCGGUGCUGGAAGGUUAAGGGAACAUGUUAGAGCAAUCGAAGCAUCGAACCGAAGCCCCAGUAAACGGCGGCCGUAACUAUAACGGUCCUAAGGUAGCGAAAUUCCUUGUCGGGUAAGUUCCGACCCGCACGAAUGGCGUAACGACUUGUGAGCUGUCUCAACAGGAGGCCCGGUGAAAUUGAAGUAUGUGUGAAGAUGCACAUUACCCGCGACUGGACGGAAAGACCCCGUAGAGCUUUACUGUAACCUGACAUUGGAUCUUGAUAACGGAUGCACAGGAUAGGUGGGACGCUGGGAGGUAUGGACUUUGGUCUGUACGGAGCGGACGUUGGGAUACCACUCUUCUGUUAUUGAGAUUCUAACCUCAAGCCGUAAGCCGGAUGAGAGACAGUGUCAGGCGGACAGUUUGACUGGGGCGGUCGCCUCCGAAAGAGUAACGGAGGCGCCCAAAGGUACCCUCAGAAUGGAUGGAAACCAUUCGAAGAGAGCAAAGUCAGAAGGGUGCUUGACUGCGAGACCAACAAGUCGAGCAGGUACGAAAGUAGGGCUUAGUGAUCCGGCGGUAAGAGAGUGGAAUUGCCGUCGCUCAACGGAUAAAAGCUACCUCGGGGAUAACAGGCUGAUCUCCCCCAAGAGUUCACAUCGACGGGGAGGUUUGGCACCUCGAUGUCGGCUCAUCGCAUCCUGGGGCUGUAUUCGGUCCCAAGGGUUUGGCUGUUCGCCAAUUAAAGCGGCACGCGAGCUGGGUUCAGAACGUCGUGAGACAGUUCGGUCCCUAUCCAUCGUGGGCGAAGGACACAUGAGAGGAGCUGCUCCUAGUACGAGAGGACCGGAGUGGACGCAUCACUGGUGCAACUGUUGUCGUGCCAACGGCACAGCAGGGAAGCGAAAUGCGGAUGGGAUAAACGCUGAAGGCAUCUAAGCGUGAAGCCCACCUCAAGAAUAAGACUCCACAAUAGACCCCUGGAGGACUACCAGGUAGAUAGGUCAUCGGUGGAAGCGCUGUAAGGCGUGCAGCUUGAUGAUACUAAUCGGUCGAAAGCUUCAUUU